UACGGAGGGGGCGAGCGUUAUUCGGAAUCACUGGGCGUAAAGCGUACGUAGGCGGCUUAGUAAGUCAGAAGUGAAAGCCCAGGGCUCAACCCUGGAACUGCUUUUGAAACUGCUUCGCUAGAAUCCGGGAGAGGCCAGCAGAAUUCCUAGUGUAGAGGUGAAAUUCGUAGAUAUUAGGAGGAAUACCAGUGGCGUAGGCGGCUGGCUGGACCGGUAUUGACGCUCAGGUACGAAAGUGUGGGGAGCAAACAGG
rnacentral:rRNA from 1 species